rnacentral:rRNA from 1 species
UGGGGAAUUUUGGACAAUGGGCGAAAGCCUGAUCCAGCAAUGCCGCGUGUGUGAAGAAGGCCUUCGGGUUGUAAAGCACUUUUGUCCGGAAAGAAAUCCUUGGCUCUAAUACAGUCGGGGGAUGACGGUACCGGAAGAAUAAGCACCGGCUAACUACGUGCCAGCAGCCGCGGUAAUACGUAGGGUGCAAGCGUUAAUCGGAAUUACUGGGCGUAAAGCGUGCGCAGGCGGUUUGCUAAGACCGAUGUGAAAUCCCCGGGCUCAACCUGGGAACUGCAUUGGUGACUGGCAGGCUAGAGUAUGGCAGAGGGGGGUAGAAUUCCACGUGUAGCAGUGAAAUGCGUAGAGAUGUGGAGGAAUACCGAUGGCGAAGGCAGCCCCCUGGGCCAAAUACUGACGCUCAUGCACGAAAAGCGUGGGGAGCAAAACAGGAUUAGAUACCCUGGUAGUCCACGCCCUAAAACGAUGUCAACUAGUUGUUGGGGAUUCAUUUCCUUAGUAACGUAGCUAACGCGUGAAGUUGACCGCCUGGAGAGUACGGUCGUCAAAGAUUAAAACUCAAAUGAAUUGACGGGGUCAUAGCUGA